GUGAACGCUGGCGGUAGGCCUAACACAUGCAAGUCGAACGGCAGCACAGGAGAGCUUGCUCUCUGGGUGGCGAGUGGCGGACGGGUGAGGAAUACAUCGGAAUCUGCCCAGUCGUGGGGGAUAACGUAGGGAAACUUACGCUAAUACCGCAUACGACCUUCGGGUGAAAGAGGGGGAUCGCAAGACCUCUCGCGAUUGGAUGAGCCGAUGUCGGAUUAGCUAGUUGGCGGGGUAAUGGCCCACCAAGGCGACGAUCCGUAGCUGGUCUGAGAGGAUGAUCACCCACAGUGGAAGGGAGACGCGGCCCAGCCUCCUACGGGAGGCGGCAGAGGGGAAUAUUGGACAAGGGGCGCAAGCCUGACCCAGCAAUCCCGGGUGGGAGAAGAAGGCUUUGGGGUUGUAAGGCCUUUUUGUGGGAAAAAAAAUUUUUCAGCCUAAUACCGUGGGAGAAUGACGGUACCCAAAAAAAAAGCCCCGGCUAACUUCGUG
rnacentral:rRNA from 1 species